UACGGAGGAUGCAAGCGUUAUCCGGAAUGAUUGGGCGUAAAGCGUCCGCAGGUGGCUGUGUAAGUCUGCUGUCAAAGAGCAAAGCUCAACUCUGUAAAGGCAGUGGAAACUACACGGCUAGAGUGCGUUCGGGGCAGAGGGAAUUCCUGGUGUAGCGGUGAAAUACGUAGAGAUUGGGAAGAACACCAGUGGCGAAGGCGGCUAUCUGGACGGUUUCUGACACUAAGACACGAAAGCGUGGGGAGCAAACAGG
rnacentral:rRNA from 1 species